rnacentral:misc_RNA from 1 species
AACGCACCUUGCGCCCUUUGGUAUUCCGAAGGGCAUGCCUGUUUGAGUGUCUUUAAAUUCUCAACCUUGGAAAGCUUUUGUUUUCCAUGGCUUGGAUGUGGAGGUUGCGGGCUUUUCUAAGUCGGCUCCUCUGAAAUGUAUUAGCUGGGUUUGCGCCUUCAGCCUAUUGGUGUGAUAAUUAUCUACGCCUCUUGGUUGUUAGCGUGUUUUACUUUCCAGCUUCAAAUCGUCCUUCAUUGGACAAUAUUUGACUAUUUGACCUCAAAUCAGGUAGGACUACCCGCUGAACUUAA